ACGGUGGCGAAGGCUCCCAGCCAUUGUAACAAUGCUUUUUCAAAAUUAGCCCUGAAAUCCACCCAGAAAAAAAAAAAAUCUCAGCUUACAUACGAACUAGGCUUCCAUGAAUCAAACGUUCAUUUCUGAAAGGAUGAGACGCCCCAGAGACUCCUACAAAGGAAUGGGUAAGAGAGAACCACGGGGCACUGAAUAGUCCCAAGUAAGAGACCCUUAGAACUAAGAGACCCUUAGAACUGCAGGUGCUCGGGCUGCAGCCCCCAACUCUCAUCUCAGCUGGAUGAAAUGCCCACGGGGCCUUCCCACUGGGCACAGAAAUGUAAAUGCUGGGAGCUGGGAGAAAUUUCAUUUCAUAUUGGAAAUGAUUUGCCAAGGGAAAAACCUAACACUAAUACCUCUAGUAGAUUCUGGCCUUGACUCAACGUAAUUGUCAUUCUUCCAAGAGAAUCUAGAUGGUUCCAUGGGAUUACAAGAUGUUCAUAAGGUAAUGAAUUCUAAGGGACUAAGUGAAAUUGUAUACUCUUAGUACUGGGGGACUUUUAUAACUAUGCAAUAAGGGCCUGAGGACCUCUGUGAGCAGAAGGGGACAGUUCUCACAGUGGCACUGCUGGGCACAGGUAAGCAGCGUGGGCUUGACAGUGAUCACUUCUUGAUUCCCAUUCAAGAAAAGGCUCACAGAGGACCAGCAUGUUGGGUAAUAGUCUAGUUCCUUUGGGGAUUGGCCAAUACCUUCUAUAUUAACCCAAAAAAAUGUGAACAGAUUUGUUAAGAUAUCUUUCUGUUCCUAAGGUAAAUUAUUAUCCCAAAGAAUGAUAUCAUCCAAUAUUAGAGGUAAAUCUCUUAAGUGUACAGAGAUACCUAACUACCAUAUGUUGAAGUAAGGUUCUCAGAGUGAGGAAAGUCAGUAGGUUAAGGUCCCUCUAAGCUGGAUUCACUGGUGCUGGCUACCAAGCUAAGUCAAGCGCCACAUCUGAAUGUGUUCUGUAGAAAUCUGCAUUGAUUACCAGAAAGAACAGUGGAACAAAUACAUACACAUACACAUAUGCAUCUCCAAG
rnacentral:lncRNA from 1 species